rnacentral:rRNA from 1 species
UACGGAGGGUGCGAGCGUUAAUCGGAAUUACUGGGCGUAAAGCGCACGUAGGCGGUUUGUUAAGCUAGAUGUGAAAGCCCCGGGCUCAACCUGGGAUGGUCAUUUAGAACUGGCAGACUAGAGUCUUGGAGAGGGGAGUGGAAUUCCAGGUGUAGCGGUGAAAUGCGUAGAUAUCUGGAGGAACAUCAGUGGCGAAGGCGACUCCCUGGCCAAAGACUGACGCUCANGUGCGAAAGUGUGGGUAGCGAACAGG